CACCCCGGGCUCCUCUCUGCCCCCUCUCCCCCCAGGCUCCUGGUCCUCAGCCCUCCCCUGCUGCAGGGCACUCCCGGCCCGUGGCCCCGUCCAUCCAGUUCCGGUCUCUGUCCAUCCUGAUGGACAGCCCGGGACAGGCUUGGAGCUGCUGAAGCCUGGGAGGAGGUCCGGACAGCUCCUCUCCGUCCCCCAGGGCUGAGCAUGGGGUGGCCUGCUGAAGGCCGCCUGGCCUGGGAGGGGCUAGCUGUCCCUGCCCCACCGUCCCAGCAGGUUUUCCUCAAGGCCUCAGGUGGCCAGGUCUCCCUGCUGGCAGAAGCUGGGAAGGGGCCACUCCUGCCCCGAGGGAGAGCUGGGGGUGGUGCAGGGCUUGGCCGCGCAGUCACUCCGAGUGGGCCUCUCUGGGCCCCUUUCGAAGGCCAGAGGUUGGUGGGGGCCGUUCUGUACCUCGUCCACCCUGGUACCUUCAGAGCUCCCGGGAGGACUUUCUGCUGUGGGUGGGGAGGGAAUGGCCUCCGAGUGGGUGAGGGAUAGCCCAGGUCACAGGGUGGGGCGGGCCACCUAUGAGAUGCUGGAACAUCUCGUAGAAACCCUGGUCCCCUGGCCCAGGGUGGGACUGCUGGGGCUCUCCAGACUCCUGGCCCAGGUGGCCUCCACAUUGUCAUCGUGACAGGGGCACAUGCUGACCCCAGGGCUCUGGGGACAGGUGCAGUGGGGCCACAGGCCUAACCCUGAGGAGCCCUCAGCCCAGCCGAGGUCCCCAGCUAAGCCCCAUCACCCUGUCCCCCACCCAGCCUGGGGUCCCUGAUCCCUACACCAGGUGCCCAUGUCCCCACGUCCUCUCUUCAGUGUGCCACACUGAGUUUCAGAGACAGAAGGGGGAUCACAGGCAGGAAGGAGAGCCCCGAGUCCAGCAGCAGCACCUGCACCCCUCGCUGUGGUCCCCUCUGGCCUUGGAAGAGACUGAGCUAGGUGGGGCGUGGGGGUCCAGGCCACCCACCACAGUCCGUCUCCAGCCCCGGGAGGCCCCUCUGUCCCUCUCCCACCGUGUCCCAGCCCUGGGAGGACCCUGAGGUCCAGGGCUUGCCCAGGAGUGGGACGGUGGGUGGGCUGGUGCCGGGAGCUCAUGAGCGUCACCUGGGCGCGGCCAGCGGGCCGUUUGCUCUGCCUCUUAGGACGGGGUCCCAGGAACUUGUCCUGUGUCCUCUGUGCUGUGGGUGCCGCUGGGGUCUCGGGAGCCCCUGCCCCAUCUGCUCCACCUCAUUUCAGCCAUGUGCUGGGGGUCCCCAUGAGCAGCCCUGGGAUGCCACCAGCCACCCUGUCGCCUUGGGGACAGAUGCACCAAAAGCUGUCUAAAAUGAAAAGUCCUGCUGAGAGCCACAUCGGCAGCGCGUGCGGCCCCGGGGACGCCCCUUCCCACAGCAGGGGGGCCGCCCCCUCCACCUUCGACCCCGUUUCCUUCUGUGAAGGCCCGUCUCCACCCAGGGCAGGGCUUCGAGGCAGGACGGGGGACGCAGCCACUGCACUUGGGGGAGUGGCCCUCUAGGCCCACCCUGAGAGCUGGAGGAGGGUUAUGGGGACCAGUGACCCACCCAGGUCACACGAGCCUUGUCCCAGUGUGGCAGGGGCCGCUGGGCGGGUCACUCAGGGAGCCAGGAGGCCUUGCCUACAAGCCCCCUUCUGAGAGUGGACAUCUGCUCCGAGUGCGUGGGGACGGGAGAGCCUGUGAGAAAUGUCCACCAGAAACCCCAAAGAGCAAGCCAGGGGCGGAGGCCAUCUGUGACUUCCCACUCAACCAUGCACAGAGGUGCACGCCUGCGAUCCCAGCACUGGGGGGCUCAGGCUGGAAGAUCACAAGUUCAAGGCCAGCCUCAGCAACUCUGCAACACCCGGUCUAAAAACAGAAUGUAAAGUGGGCUGUGGGUGUAUGUUGCUCGGUGGGUAAGCACCCUGGGUUCCGUGGAAGGGAGGGGGCACAGAUUCUGGGAGUGCACCCAAAGGAAUUGAAGCAAGGCCCAGAGGUGUUUACAUCCAGGUUCAUAGCAUCCUUCUAGAGUCAAAGGCAGAGAACAGCUGAGUGGGUAAACAGAAGGUGGUAUGUCCAUACAAUGGAAUAUUAUUUAGUCUGAAAAAGGAAGGAAAUUCUGAUUAUAGUAAAAUUGAGUGAGUCUUAAGGACAUUAUACUAAGUAAGACAAGCCAAUCACAACCACACGAUUCCGUGUGAUUCCACCAUAUGAAGUACCAAGAGGAGUCGGAGUCAUAGAGACCCAUUAGCAGUGGUUACUGGGGAGGGGAUUAGAAUUUCAGUUUUGCAAGAUGGAAUUCUGGAGAUUGCUUGGCCGUUGAGCCACAUCUCCAGAUAGGGUCUCGCUAAGUUGCUUAGAGCCUCACUGACUUGCCAAGGCUGGCCUCAAACUUGUGAUCCUCCUGCCUCAGCCUCCCCAGUUGCUGGAUUCCAGGUGUGCACCACUGCACUCAACAACCAUGCGAACGUAUUUAACACCACAGAACUGUACCUAUCAGGAGGGGACAGGGCCUCGCUGCACUGCCCGGGCUGGUCUCCACCUCCUGGGCUCAAGCCAGCCUCCCAAGUAGCUGGGGCUACCAUGUGGGCCCCCUGCUGGGCCUGGGCGGUGGACUUAAGAGGGUCAGAGUGGUGUACACUUCAUCCCAAAUUCUUUUUUAAAAACGUGGACGGGAGGGAGGGGAGAGAGCCUUCCUCCCUGCCGAUUCUCCAGGGCUGCUUCCCUGCCGGGCUCUGGGCUGCCCCAACCCUCGGCCCUCUGCUGCAGGGGCCCCGGGCAGUGCCCUAGAGGCCAUGAGAAGGGCAAGGCUGCCAGGCGCCCACUGGAGAUGGGCCACCAACAAUGGUCCCUGCCUCCCGCAGAGGCCUGUGCUUCCCAGGACCCUUGGGGUGGGAGGGGACGUGACCAGCUCUGACCAGCGAGUUCUGGCUGGAAGGGACAUGGGGCCCUGGAGCCGGAGCAUUAUCUGUGGACAGAGCCCUUCCUGGGCUCCGCCCCUCGGAGGGUGUGGGGACCGGCACGCUCCAGUGCUCUCGUGUGGCUGGCAGCCCUGGGGGCGCUCAUCACCGCGGCACCACCUGGCCAGACCCCGCCACACCGCCUCUUCCCCGGUGGUCCUUGAAUGGGGAGGCCAGUGUGGGGCGUGGCCUUCUGUGUGCUGUGCACGUCGCAGGGCCGCCAGCACGAUUCCGAGUUGGUCUCCGUGUGAGCCUGAGGAGGUCACCGUCUCAGUUCGUCCCUCCAUAACAGGGACCUUUCCAGAUGCCAAAUUCUGGGCCGGGGAGAUGGCCUUGCCCCUCCUCGUGCCAUGGACCGUCAGAGCCCGAGGACGGCUGUGCACAGAUGGCGAGGCGCACAGCAGACCUGUGCUCCCUGGGUUCUGUGGCUCAGCAGUGGACUGAGGGUGUCCCCGGGAGGCCCGCUGGGUGACCGCUGGUGCAGAGCUGCCCGCCAGCCGUGAGACCUAAGUGGUCUGCAGGAGUGUCGCCCGCCCUUCCCUCACAGGACACUCCCAGCUGUGUGGGUGGAGGGGACAGCAGGUGGCAUGACGUGGAGCUGAGGCAGAGGAGGAGCCGCAUGGUGGGAGGAACAGUGCCCCCCAGGGACAGUCCACAGGGACAGCAGCCACCCCAGGGGGAGUGUCCCAUAAGACAGGUGCCCCCACUGCCCGGGAGCCUCGCCAAGGGCGCCUUCAUGGGCGGCACCAGACCCACAGCAGCCACCACCACAGUGACCAGUGUCCAGGGUCCUUGGCCUGCAUCCUGUGGCCUCCCACCGCCCAAGCUGGACAUGCCAGGACGUCCCCUCUCAGGGUGGACACCACAGUGGUGGAGCCAGUCACUGCCUGGGUCCUGGUGGCCAAGGGGGUGGUUGAACCUGUUGUCUCCCACCUUAGGACAGUGAAAUUGGUAAGGAGGGGAAUUCUAGUGACACAAGGGCAUCUGAAAGGUGGCACCUAAAGGUGAAGGGGCGUUGAGAGCAGGGCUUGCUCAGCUGCCCAUCACUGGGUGCCAGUCCCGGUGUCUCAGGAGGCUGAGGCAGGAGGAUCGCAACUUCAAACCAGCCUCAGCAGAAAACAAGGCACCAAGCAACUCAAUGAAACUCUUGUCUCUAAAUAAAAUGCAAAAUAGGGCUGGGGGUGUGGCUCAGUGGUGGAGUGUCCCCCACACACAAAGGAAUUCAGUCAUCAGGCCCAAGGGUCCCAGAAAUCCACUGGAGAAACACACACACACACACACACACCCCUCUGCUGUCAGCUCUAGAAUAAAGGGUCCGGGGGUUGGGUCUGAGCUUGGCCACCCAGCCGUGAAGCCAGCCCUGAACACACCGGCCCGUGUCCUGGCACACGGAGGAGAGGGCUGGAAGUCGGCCGUGGUCUCCUCUGGGUCAAGCUGGCUGCCACCCACGCAUCACCUGGGAAAUGUCCGUUCAGUGGUUUAAUCAGGUCAGGACAGGCCAAGAGUCCGUGGGAGCCGCUGGCGGGCGAGCUAUUUGGGGGAGAAUAAAGGGGUUGCCAGGACCCUGGAGGCGGCCUGUCUUUCCUGUCUGCCACUCUUCACCCCCAGCGCUUGUCAGUGUGGAGUUUGCUGCUGGGGGGGAACCAACUCCGACUUCACAGACAUUUGUAAGAGCAAAUUUAAUAAAGCUGGGGAUAAUGCUGCUCAGAUGCAA